rnacentral:tRNA from 1 species
UAGCUCAGGGGUAGAGCACAACCUUGCCAAGGUUGGGGUCGAGGGUUCAAAUCCCUU